rnacentral:lncRNA from 1 species
ACCAAAAAAAACAUGACCUAAUCCUAUUCCAGACUGCACCUACUAUAAGCUAAAUAUGAGGUAACCAAGAAAAACCACAGCUAUGUCUUGGUAGCUGUGAUAACUGUUAACUCUCCAUAGACAGAAAAGGAAAAAGGCCCGUGGUCACGCUAGAGCUAAUGACAUAAGGCAGAACCAAAGAGAGGAUAAAUAACAUGACUAGCCGACCCCAGAAAGCUCCAAGACUAGCCAGACCGUGCAAGGUUGGAGUAGUGCAACACUUACCAGCAGACAGACAAGGUCAAGAGCUAAUAACGGCAGAAGUCAGAGAUGGACAGAGAAGGGCUUCAACCAGCCCUAACCAGGCAAGCAUAAACAGCUUUUGAGCUCCCUGAUUGGACCAGGUGACUGUGCAUAGACUAUGUGCCUUCCAAUGUUCAACUUUCCCAUACUCAGAUAAUCUACCUCAGUGUUGGUCCACUGUCUGUGUUGAGUCCUAUAAGAAGUCCCUAGAUAAGCUCAAAGAAUUUGAUUUUCUUCUCUUGGGGAACCUCUCCGGAAUUCUGCUUUCUGCUGUAUUUCAUCUUUAUUCUGUCAGCUUUCUACCUGUAGUAAUAAAAUUAUUCCUCAAGCGUUGUCAGUGAAUUUCAUUCUUCAAGUUUCUGAUAAGUCAGGGAGACAGCCCCCCCCCCCACUCCCCAUUGCCACAGCGCUGGUUGCACUCACAGGGACGCUCCUGCGUUUCCAUUCUUUGUAACUCUUGAAGAAACAUUCUCCCAAAGGUUGCAGUCAGGUAAUUUCAAAUAUAGCCCAUGGUCAAUAUAUCAAAUAUAUCAAAUAUAUCCCAUGGUCAAUAGCCUCAUGUCACUUUCCGAACUUUUUGUAUUUGGUCCCUGGUGAAUGUGUAAGCACCUCUGCUGGUUUUGGAAAUUUGUGUAGCUGUAAAAAUUUUUUCAAAAAAUAGAGGUUCAGAUCCCUCUUAUGGUGGUUUAGUCACUCUUGGAGCUGAAUUUUAUCCUAUCUUUUGGUGUUUUGUAGAGGAGGAGGCUCGAAGGUAGAUAGCUUGUGGUAGCCUGGCUUGUGCUCUGUGUACUGAAAAUGGCUCUUUAAAAGCCCUCACACAACUCUUUAAGGGAGAUGUAAGAAUCAGGUUUGCCUGCCUGUGACAAACCACCUGAGCUACCCAGCUUAUUACUACAAGGGAGAAAGGCUUCUCUUAGCUCCUGGCUUCAGAGGCCCCAGUCUACAGCAGCUCGGCUUUAUUGCCCUGGGUCUGUGGUCAGACAGAACACCAUUACAGGACACCUGUGGCAGAGCAGAGCUGCCCCCUUCCUGGCAGCUGGAAGCAGAGGGGGAGGGGUGAAAUCUCCUUCAAGGGCAUGCUCCCUGUGGUCUGAACCUCUUCCAUCAGGCCCUACCUCCUAAGGUCCGUAUGACCUCCCAGUAGCGCCGCAGACUGGAAACCAAGUGUUUAGCAUGUAGCCUUUGGAGGACUUUUGAGAGUCAAACAUAACUGGAAGGUUGCCUUGUUCUAAGGAUAAUUAACUGAAAUGGAAGGCAGGGUUUUUCAAAACGACCGAUGCCCCUGUGUGCAAAGUCUUGUCAUCCUAGUGACACAUUGGUCCCACCCCUCUUGAUUCCUCAAAACACUGAUCUUUAACUCACCUGAUUGGGUGCUCACCAUGACCUUUCCCUUAGUUGCAGCUGAUGCUCAGGCUGAGAGAUUAAAUGCUUCAUGGACCACUGAUUGCUUUUAUAAUUUUAUUGAAUGAUCAAUAAGCAUUCCCACAGAACUGGGAUAUGGAACUGUCUCGGAGCCUUAGGAGACAUGGAUUUAUAGAAACACAUGACCGCGAUCCACUACCGACAACAUUCUUUCUCUCUGAUAUCUCUUCCUCUAACCACCUAGGGAAUAUUUAAGUAUUUGGAAAAUAAUAAAUAUUUAUUUGUGGGUUUUGUGUUUGUUUUUAUUUUUGAAGCAGGGUCUCACCAUGUGGUCCUUGAUGGCCUAGAACAUACAAACCGCGGUGGCCUCAAACUCACAGAUUAUUUUUUGUAUUUACUAAAAUGAGGUCAUCUGCAGAGUUUUUCUCCAACUUCUCAUAAUUAAGGUCAAGAAAGCCUCCAUAUUCAUGAAACAGAAGAACAGAACAUCUAGCUCUGGUCCUAUCUAAGGGCUGGGGUGUGUCUCAGCAGUACAGGAUUUGGCUAGCAAGAACAAGCUAUGUAGUCCAUCUCUGGUACCAGUAGUAAG